UUGGUAAAUGACGUACCUCUUUCAGUCGUUUUUGGAUGGUUGUGUGUCUUUACUGCUCUAGUGAAAUUAGUACUGCUACAAUCCUGGAUCUCCUUUCUUUAUUUCGAGUCGUUCCUUAAAAUUUUCACCAUUCCGCCAUUAAAUUUUUCAGAAGUCCACGGGUGGGAAGCUUCUCAUCAGGGAAGGCUUGCCUUCGCAUACCUUGCAGUUUUCCUUUUGACAUACGAGUGUGAGGGUGGUCCACCUUGGGAUACCAGCUGACUAGGUCUAAUAAGCUGAGUGUAAGCCAUAUUUGAAGCAUUUCCUGGAAUCUUCCAUUUUGUUCUUCAGUAUUUUUGCAUUUUUAUCUUGAUAGUCAAUUUCAACUAAGUGCUAAAAUGAAAUCUCCCGUUGGAAAUCCAUCAGUUCAAAUCGUUACUAAGAAAACUGUUUUUGAUCUUGUGGAUGACAUAAUCCAUCGCACAGACCAAGAAGAACCAUUCCUUAUUGCGGACCUUGCUGACAUUGUCUACAAAUAUAAGCUAUGGAAACUGAAAAUGCCAAGAAUUCAACCUUUCUAUGCUGUAAAGUGUAAUGAUGCUCCUGAAGUUCUUCACCUUCUUUCUGCUUUGGGUACUGGAUUUGAUUGCGCGAGCAAGG